UUAACACAUGCAAGUCGAGCGCCCGGGCAACCGGGAGCGGCGCACGGGUGAGUAACACGUGGGAACGUGCCCAAUGGUUCGGAAUAACUCAGGGAAACUUGAGCUAAUACCGGAUAAGCCCUUACGGGGAAAGAUUUAUCGCCAUUGGAGCGGCCCGCGUCCGAUUAGCUGGUUGGUGGGGUAAAAGCCCACCAAGGCGACGAUCGGUAGCUGGUCUGAGAGGACGACCAGCCACACUGGGACUGAGACACGGCCCAGACUCCUACGGGAGGCAGCAGUGGGGAAUCUUGGACAAUGGGGGAAACCCUGAUCCAGCCAUGCCGCGUGAGUGAUGAAGGCCCUAGGGUUGUAAAACUCUUUCGGCGGGGACGAUAAUGACGGUACCCGCAGAAGAAGCUCCGGCUAACUUCGUGCCAGCAGCCGCGGUAAUACGAAGGGGGCUAGCGUUGUUCGGAAUUACUGGGCGUAAAGCGCGCGCAGGCGGUCCUUCAAGUCAGAGGUGAAAGCCCAGGGCUCAACCCUGGAAUGGCCUUUGAGACUAGAGGACUUGGGUACGGGAGAGGUGAGUGGAAUUCCGAGUGUAGAGGUGAAAUUCGUAGAUAUUCGGAAGAACACCAGUGGCGAAGGCGGCUCACUGGC
rnacentral:rRNA from 1 species